rnacentral:rRNA from 1 species
AAAUGAAUUGACGGGGGCCCGCACAAGCGGUGGAGCAUGUGGUUUAAUUCGACGCAACGCGAAGAACCUUACCAGGGUUUGACAUCCCUUGACUGCUAUAGAGAUAUAGUGUUCAGCUUGCUGACAAGGAGACAGGUGGUGCAUGGCUGUCGUCAGCUCGUGUCGUGAGAUGUUGGGUUAAGUCCCGCAACGAGCGCAACCCUUAUUCUUAGUUGCCAGCAUUUAAGGUGGGCACUCUAAGGAGACUGCCACGGAUAACGUGGAGGAAGGUGGGGAUGACGUCAAGUCAUCAUGCCCUUUAUAUCCUGGGCUACACACGUGCUACAAUGGUUCGUACAGAGGGAAGCAAAGCCGCGAGGUGGAGCCAAUCCCAGAAAGCGGACCUCAGUUCGGAUUGGAGUCUGCAACUCGACUCCAUGAAGCAGGAAUCGCUAGUAACCGCAGAUCAGCAUGCUGCGGUGAAUACGUUCCCGGGCCUUGUACACACCGCCCGU